UGGGGAAUAUUGGACAAUGGGGGCAACCCUGAUCCAGCAUGCCGCGUGAGUGAAGAAGGCCCUCGGGUUGUAAAGCUCUUUUGUCCGGAAAGAAAAGCAUUCGGUGAAUACCCGGAUGUUCUGACGGUACCGGAAGAAUAAGCACCGGCUAACUUCGUGCCAGCAGCCGCGGUAAUACGAAGGGUGCAAGCGUUACUCGGAAUUACUGGGCGUAAAGCGUGCGUAGGUGGUUGUUUAAGUCUGAUGUGAAAGCCCUGGGCUCAACCUGGGAAUGGCAUUGGAAACUGGGCAGCUAGAGUGCGGUAGAGGGUAGUGGAAUUCCCGGUGUAGCAGUGAAAUGCGUAGAGAUCGGGAGGAACAUCUGUGGCGAAGGCGACUGCCUGGACCAGCACUGACACUGAGGCACGAAAGCGUGGGGAGCAAACA
rnacentral:rRNA from 1 species